rnacentral:rRNA from 1 species
GACCAAGGAGUCUAGCAUGUGCGCGAGUCAUUGGGACUGUAAUAAACCUAAAGGCGCAAUGAAAGUAAAAGUCCGCCUCGCGCGGACUUAGGGAGGAUGAGACCGUUCUCGUGACGGACUCCGCACUCCCGGGGCGUCUCGUUCUCAUUGCGAGAUGAGGCGCACCCAGAGCGUACACGCUGGGACCCGAAAGAUGGUGAACUAUGCCUGGUCAGGACGAAGUCAGGGGAAACCCUGAUGGAGGUCCGUAGCGAUUCUGACGUGCAAAUCGAUCGUCGGAACUGGGUAUAGGGGCGAAAGACUAAUCGAAC